CCUACGGGAGGCAGCAGUGAGGAAUAUUGGUCAAUGGGCUUACGCCUGAACCAGCCAAGUCGCGUGAGGGAAGACUGCCCUAUGGGUUGUAAACCUCUUUUGUCAGGGAGCAAUUGGCGCUACGUGUAUCGUUAUCGAGAGUACCUGAAGAAAAGGCAUCGGCUAACUCCGUGCCAGCAGCCGCGUUAAUACGGGGGAUGCGAGCGUUAUCCGGAUUUAUUGGGUUUAAAGGGUGCGUAGGCGGAAUGCCAAGUCAGCGGGAAAAUAGCGGGGCUCAACCUCGCUCCGCCGUUGAAACUGGCGUUCUUGAGUGGGCGAGAAGUAUGCGGAAUGCGUGGUGUAGCGGUGAAAUGCAUAGAUAUCACGCAGAACUCCGAUUGCGAAGGCAGCAUACCGGCGCCCAACUGACGCUGAAGCACGAAAGCGUGGGUAUCGAACAGGAUUAGAUACCCCUGUAGUC
rnacentral:rRNA from 1 species